rfam:Ovis aries breed Texel chromosome 7, whole genome shotgun sequence.
UCCCUGGUGGCUCAGAUGGUAAAGAAACUGCCUGCAAUCCAGUAGACCCAGGUUCAAUUCCUGGGUUGAGAA